rnacentral:misc_RNA from 1 species
GAUGAAGAACGUAGCGAAAUGCGAUAAGUAAUGUGAAUUGCAGAAUUCAGUGAAUCAUCGAAUCUUUGAACGCACAUUGCGCCCGCUGGUAUUCCGGGGGGCAUGCCUGUCCGAGCGUCAUUGCUGCCCUCAAGCACGGCUUGUGUGUUGGGCCUCCGUCCUCCUCCCGGGGGACGGGCCCGAAAGGCAGCGGCGGCACCGCGUCCGGUCCUCGAGCGUAUGGGGCUUCGUCACCCGCUCUUGUAGGCCCGGCCGGCGCUUGCCGACACAUCAAUCUUUUUUCCAGGUUGACCUCGGAUCAGGUAGGGAUACCCGCUGAACUUAAGCAUAUCAAUAAGCGGAGGA